UUAAGCGACUAAGCGUACACGGUGGAUGCCCUGGCAGUCAGAGGCGAUGAAGGACGUGCUAAUCUGCGAUAAGCGUCGGUAAGGUGAUAUGAACCGUUAUAACCGGCGAUUUCCGAAUGGGGAAACCCAGUGUGAUUCGUCACACUAUCAUUAACUGAAUCCAUAGGUUAAUGAGGCGAACCGGGGGAACUGAAACAUCUAAGUACCCCGAGGAAAAGAAAUCAACCGAGAUUCCCCCAGUAGCGGCGAGCGAACGGGGAGCAGCCCAGAGCCUGAAUCAGUGUGUGUGUUAGUGGAAGCGUCUGGAAAGGCGCGCGAUACAGGGUGACAGCCCCGUACACAAAAAUGCACAUGCUGUGAGCUCGAUGAGUAGGGCGGGACACGUGGUAUCCUGUCUGAAUAUGGGGGGACCAUCCUCCAAGGCUAAAUACUCCUGACUGACCGAUAGUGAACCAGUACCGUGAGGGAAAGGCGAAAAGAACCCCGGCGAGGGGAGUGAAAAAGAACCUGAAACCGUGUACGUACAAGCAGUGGGAGCACGCUUAGGCGUGUGACUGCGUACCUUUUGUAUAAUGGGUCAGCGACUUAUAUUCUGUAGCAAGGUUAACCGAAUAGGGGAGCCGAAGGGAAACCGAGUCUUAACUGGGCGUUAAGUUGCAGGGUAUAGACCCGAAACCCGGUGAUCUAGCCAUGGGCAGGUUGAAGGUUGGGUAACACUAACUGGAGGACCGAACCGACUAAUGUUGAAAAAUUAGCGGAUGACUUGUGGCUGGGGGUGAAAGGCCAAUCAAACCGGGAGAUAGCUGGUUCUCCCCGAAAGCUAUUUAGGUAGCGCCUCGUGAAUUCAUCUCCGGGGGUAGAGCACUGUUUCGGCAAGGGGGUCAUCCCGACUUACCAACCCGAUGCAAACUGCGAAUACCGGAGAAUGUUAUCACGGGAGACACACGGCGGGUGCUAACGUCCGUCGUGAAGAGGGAAACAACCCAGACCGCCAGCUAAGGUCCCAAAGUCAUGGUUAAGUGGGAAACGAUGUGGGAAGGCCCAGACAGCCAGGAUGUUGGCUUAGAAGCAGCCAUCAUUUAAAGAAAGCGUAAUAGCUCACUGGUCGAGUCGGCCUGCGCGGAAGAUGUAACGGGGCUAAACCAUGCACCGAAGCUGCGGCAGCGACGCUUAUGCGUUGUUGGGUAGGGGAGCGUUCUGUAAGCCUGCGAAGGUGUGCUGUGAGGCAUGCUGGAGGUAUCAGAAGUGCGAAUGCUGACAUAAGUAACGAUAAAGCGGGUGAAAAGCCCGCUCGCCGGAAGACCAAGGGUUCCUGUCCAACGUUAAUCGGGGCAGGGUGAGUCGACCCCUAAGGCGAGGCCGAAAGGCGUAGUCGAUGGGAAACAGGUUAAUAUUCCUGUACUUGGUGUUACUGCGAAGGGGGGACGGAGAAGGCUAUGUUGGCCGGGCGACGGUUGUCCCGGUUUAAGCGUGUAGGCUGGUUUUCCAGGCAAAUCCGGAAAAUCAAGGCUGAGGCGUGAUGACGAGGCACUACGGUGCUGAAGCAACAAAUGCCCUGCUUCCAGGAAAAGCCUCUAAGCAUCAGGUAACAUCAAAUCGUACCCCAAACCGACACAGGUGGUCAGGUAGAGAAUACCAAGGCGCUUGAGAGAACUCGGGUGAAGGAACUAGGCAAAAUGGUGCCGUAACUUCGGGAGAAGGCACGCUGAUAUGUAGGUGAAGUCCCUCGCGGAUGGAGCUGAAAUCAGUCGAAGAUACCAGCUGGCUGCAACUGUUUAUUAAAAACACAGCACUGUGCAAACACGAAAGUGGACGUAUACGGUGUGACGCCUGCCCGGUGCCGGAAGGUUAAUUGAUGGGGUCAGCGCAAGCGAAGCUCUUGAUCGAAGCCCCGGUAAACGGCGGCCGUAACUAUAACGGUCCUAAGGUAGCGAAAUUCCUUGUCGGGU
rnacentral:rRNA from 1 species